CCUACGGGUGGCAGCAGUGGGGAAUAUUGGACAAUGGGGGGAACCCUUAUCCCGCGACGCCGCGUGAGUGACGACUUAUUUCGGUAUGUAAAGCUCUAUCAGCAGGGAAGAAAAUGACGUUACCUGACUAAGAAGCCCCGGCUAACUACUUUCCAGCAGCCGCGGUAAUACGUAGGGGGCAAGCGGUAUCCGGAUUGACUGGGUGUAAAGGGAGCGUAGACGGUGCAGCAAGUCUGAUGUGAAAGUUCGGGGCCCAAACCCGGGACUGCAUUGGAAACUGUUGAACUGGAGUACAGGGGAGGUAAGCGGAAUUCCUAGGGUAGCGGUGAAAUGCGGAGAUAUUAGGAGGAACACCAGUGGCGAAGGCGGCUUACUGGACUGUAACUGACGUGGAGGCUCGAAAGCGUGGGGAGCAAAAAGGAUUAGAUACCCCAGUAGUC
rnacentral:rRNA from 1 species